UACGUAGGGUGCAGGCGUUAAUCGGAAUUACUGGGCGUAAAGCGUGCGCAGGCGGCUCCUUAAGUCAGAUGUGAAAGCCCCGGGCUUAACCUGGGAACUGCGUUUGAAACUGGGGAGCUAGAGUGUAGAAGAGGGGGUGGAAUUCCAGGUGUAGCAGUGGAAAUGCGGUAGAUAUCGGGAGGAACACCUGUGGCGAAGGCGGCCCCCUGGUUGGAUACUGACGCUGAGACGCGAAAGCGUGGGGAGCGAACAGG
rnacentral:rRNA from 1 species